rnacentral:rRNA from 1 species
CCUACGGGAGGCAGCAGUGAGGAAUAUUGGUCAAUGGGCGAGAGCCUGAACCAGCCAAGUCGCGUGAAGGAUGAAGGAUCUAUGGUUUGUAAACUUCUUUUAUAUGGGAAUAAAGUGAGGAACGUGUUCCUUUUUGUAUGUACCAUAUGAAAAAGCAUCGGCUAACUCCGUGCCAGCAGCCGCGGUAAUACGGAGGAUGCGAGCGUUAUCCGGAUUUAUUGGGUUUAAAGGGUGCGCAGGCGGAAUGUCAAGUCAGCGGUAAAAUUUCGGGGCUCAACCCCGUCGUGCCGUUGAAACUGGCGUUCUUGAGUGAGCGAGAAGUAUGCGGAAUGCGUGGUGUAGCGGUGAAAUGCAUAGAUAUCACGCAGAACUCCGAUUGCGAAGGCAGCAUACCGGCGCUCAACUGACGCUCAUGCACGAAAGCGUGGGUAUCGAACAGGAUUAGAUACCCUAGUAGUC